rnacentral:lncRNA from 1 species
AUGUGGAAUAUCAAUUCAAUGGCUUCUAUUAAGAGAGUCAAAAACAAAACUUUAUCAUUUUUUUCUUUUACUAUUGCAGUAAGGGAAACAGAGCAUCUGACAGGCAAAAGGUCAUCUCUUUGGACACAUGUUCUCAAUUGUGAAAAGAAGAACAGGUCUUCUGUUUUUGUUGAUGCAAGGUUCCAGAGGGAGAUGCUUGAGCGGAACAAAUAUGCAUCUUUGUGUUCAUGGAUUACAGGAGCUAUAUAAGUGAGAAACUCCGAAUUUCUCCACAAGAAAGAAGAGUAUACCUGUAAUUUAAAGAUAAGUAGCUACUUCUUCUUCUCAUCCUCUGCUGCUUCUUUUCUUCUUCUUCUUCUUCUCCUUCUUCUUCUCUUCUUCUUCUUCUUCUUCUUCUUCUUCUUCUUCUUCUUCUUCUUCUUCUUCUUCUUCUUCUUCUUCUUCCCUUCUUCUUCUUCUUCUUUACUUCUUUUCUUCUUCUGCUUCUGCUUCUGCUUCUUCCCGAUUCUUUUGAAAUUGAGCACAGACCAGUAAAAGGCAAAAGACCAAGCUUGGUAAAUCUGAUAUGGUAAGAGGUAUGGUAAAAUUUUGAUGAGCAGAUAUUUUAGUGACUUUACUGUCUCUCAGUCAUUAUUUUUGCGUUCCAUUUUCUGAAAGCAAUCAGAGAACAAGAAGUGAUAGAAUUAGAUUAAUAAAUACUACAACUAGUACAAUUGACUUCCAAUCAAUUAAAAAAAUUGUAGCCUUUUCUACUUCAAGUCAACUAAAUAUAUCAUUUCAAUUCCAAAAAGAUAUGAUGAGGAGUAAUUUCCUCAGCCACUAAAAUGUUUAACCAUGGUUAUACUUCAUCUGUGUUCAAGUCUCUUGAAACUUUUAUCAAUUUUUUAUAAUGUUUAUAAUUAAUGUUUAUAAUUUUUUAUUCCAAUCACUAGGACAGAUUAACAUUUCUAAACUUGGUCUUACCAUCUCCCGAGAAUUGUACCCUAUUACUUUAGUUAUAUGCUACUGAAAUUUUAGGGAGCAAUUUGUUUUAUUUAAAGUAGUAUUCUUGAAAGUUAAUUGGAUUAAUCAAUGAAAAGACAAGAGUUCAUGUUGAUAUACUUGUCACUUUGGGCAAUAAAAAUAAAAUUUGAAAAUAUAAGUAAUUAAUUUGAUGAAAUUGUUAAUUGAAAUAUAAUUUUAGAAAUGUAGCCUUCUUCAAACUAUGAGUUUUAAAUUAAAGAUAUAUUCCUAUAGAAGAUACAAAGGAAAUGUGGUAUGUGGCUUAUUUCUGAACAAUCUUCACUUAGAGUAAGACUUAAUAUAUUUAGUAGAGUAGUGUAUAAAGAAGUACUAAGUUCAACAUUUUACUGCUAGAGUAUCUGAUAGAAAUAAGUGACAUAUAUCCUAUGGGAUUGUAGUACUAAGGCAGUAGUAAGUUGUUAGAAUAAAAUAAAAAAGAGAUUAAGAGGGCAAUGAGAAAAGGGCAAAAAUGGAGUCUAUGUGAUUGAGUGACUUUCCCAUAGCUAGAAGAUAAAGACUAGUUGAACAAGAUUUGUUUAUACGGACCUAUCAGUCCAAAAUUACCUGUCUUUAGGGAUAAGAAUGUCUUCUUCCCUCCCAGUACACAGAGGGUAUCUUUCACAUCUUACAAAGUCAAACAUUAAUUUUCAGAAGAAGUAUGGUCUGAAUUUUUAUGGAAGGAGGGAAUAAUUUUUUUCCCAAUUGGUUCAUAAUGAGCCAGGUAAUUUGAGUGAUCAGAAAAAUCUUGUAACUUCUUGAAUUUUCACCAAAAGAAAGGAGAAGCCUUUUUUACCCUGAUAUUUUGCAGAGUUUGUUGGAUACAAAGGAUUGUACCCCUUUGAAUCGCUACUUUUUUAACAUACUACUUAUAGAUCACUCAGUGUCUGAGCACAGCUAGUGAUUAAUUUUCCCCUUAAGAACUCAACCUUGUUUCAAAUUUCAAUAAUCCAAAGAAUCUUAUUUUUAUGUUAUCUAAGAUACUUAAAAUUUCUCUGAGAUAGUUUUAAAAUAAAUUUUAAUUAAAUCUAAGAUUAUUUAAGCCAUUCUAAAAAAUUAUUUUAUAUUGUCUUCAAAAUAUCCUCUUUUAACAAUCAAUAGAUCUUUCUUCUUAUUUCUACCAGAACUGUCCAUAUGAGAUUACUCUUUGUUCUAUGUAAAUAAAAUUAUCAUACUUACUCAUAUUCUUAUCUUUUCAAGCUGAACACCCUAAUUAACAAUGAAACUUUGCAUAAUAUUAUUUUCUAACCCACUCAUUAAUCUGGGCAUUUCGAGUUUUAAGAUUUCACAGUCCAUUGAACUCAUGAAUUCAGGUGUAUUCUGAGUAAGUAUAUAUAUAAUUUCCUGAGUCUGAAGUUGGUUCUAUUCUCUUACUGACAGAUGUUUACAUUUUUCAAUACCUUAUAUUAGCCUUUCUUGAUGCUUUGUUGUUCUUUCAUGCUAUAGAUUGCUUUUCUGUUAUUUUAGUUGAUGACUUCAUGAUGAUUCUCUUGGCUCAUUUUAUAGGAAAGAGGCCUGAAGUAAACAACAUUUGGACAGCUUAAAAAAUGUCGAAUAGGGUAGUAAAACAGAACCAAUUCUGAACUGAAUAUUACAAAAUGGAAUACUUACAACUAUAACUAAUAAUUGAGGAUUAUAAACAACUGUUUUUAAAAACCUAAUUGAUGGUAUUCCAGUGAAGAGCUUGACCAUAUCUUGAUCCCAACAAGUUGACUGAGACACAAAUGGAAAAUCAGAUAUUGGUGGGACGUGGGUAAGAAUCCAUGGUUUUGAAUAGUGAUAUCAUUCUCUUGGAUUUUGCCCAGGAGUGUGUCUGAGUUUCCUGCAGCAUCAGGAGAGGGAGAGAGACAACAUGACUUCUACCAAGAUUCUGCUGCUCUUGCUGUCAACAGUUUUGCUGGCCUUGGGCUCUGCUCAGGCCAUCGAUGACAGUAAGUUGGGGAAAUGGAAGAUCAUGUAAGCAUGUGGGUAAGAUUCAUAGAAAAGAGUAAGGUUGAAUUGAGCUUUCUCAGAAAUCAAGUACUUGAUAUUCCAAGAAUAGGUUUAUCAAAGAGGAGAGAACAUUAGUUUCUAUUUUCCACUGGUUGCAAAUAUCUCUCUGAAAUCUGGGACCUGAGUCUCAAUUAAGUAUCUUCAUGAGGUGACCUUUGCUAUACUCAGAAAUAUGGACUUUCACUUAUUCACUCUAUUUGCGUGAAAAAAAAAUUCUAGAUGGAGUGGAUAUUUUAAAAUUCAUCUAGAUAUCUCAUUUCCUUGUCAUUGAACAAUUGGCCAUUUACAAAUAUUGAGAAUUUGUAUUAAAUUUUCUUUAUUCCAUUAAAUAGAUAAGUGGGCACUAUUAAUUCUCUCCAUUGUAUUAACUUUUUAUUUUUUUAACCUCUAUGUCGGGUUUGGGAGCAAUAUGGCAGGCAUGUUGAGAUCUAGAAG